rnacentral:rRNA from 1 species
CAGCCGCCACGGUAAUACGUAGGGUGCAAGCGUUAAUCGGAAUUACUGGGCGUAAAGCGUGCGCAGGCGGUUCGCUAAGACAGAUGUGAAAUCCCCGGGCUUAACCUGGGUACUGCAUUUGUGACUGGCGGGCUAGAGUAAGGCAGAGGGGGGUAGAAUUCCACGUGUAGCAGUGAAAUGCGUGGAGAUGUGGAGGAAUACCGAUGGCGAAGGCAGCCCCCUGGGCCAAUACUGACGCUCAUGCACGAGAGCGUGGGGAGCAAACAGGAUUAGAUACCCCAGUAGUCCCUGUCUCUUAUAC